UUAACCAAUAUCCGGAGGCAGACGAUCCUCCCCGGGACAUAGCGUCUGAAGGUCAAUAGUCACCCAACGCUACGACACAAUGCCUACAUCACUUCCUUUCGUUGAGUAGACAUUUAAUCAGCUCGCAUCAUCACAAGAGAAGGACACCAUCUGAGCUGAGGCCUGCGUGAUGAGAAGUUGCCAACCGCUUGGUUACUCGGGAAAGAGUCCUCCACGCAGAGGGAACAGCAGCCAGAGCAGGGGCCCAGAGCGUCGAACCUGCAUUUUGACCUCCAGAGUCUGAUGCCCAGUGGAGGCUUCGGGGAUCUAGAAGCUGUUACUCCAGAGCCUUGCCCGGCCUUGGCCAAGUGGAAAGGACAUCUUCUCCUCUGUUAACUCCACAUCUUCAGGAAUGGCAGGUGAGUCUGAACUCAUGAAUUGAUAGUGAGUGCUUUGUAAAGUCUGACCAAAGGAGUGGGUACAGAAGGACCCUGGGGCCCUCUGUGUGCUCCAAACGAGGAACUGUGAUC